rnacentral:rRNA from 1 species
CUCCGUAGGUGAACCUGCGGNNNGAUCAUUACACAAAUAUGAAGGCGGGCUGGAACCUCUCGGGGUUACAGCCUUGCUGAAUUAUUCACCCUUGUCUUUUGCGUACUUCUUGUUUCCUUGGUGGGUUCGCCCACCACUGGGACAAACAUAAACCUUUUGUAAUUGCAAUCAGCGUCAGUAACAAAUUAAUAAUUACAACUUUCAACAACGGAUCUCUUGGUUCUGGCAUCGAUGAAGAACGCAGCGAAAUGCGAUAAGUAGUGUGAAUUGCAGAAUUCAGUGAAUCAUCGAAUCUUUGAACGCACAUUGCGCCCUUUGGUAUUCCAAAGGGCAUGCCUGUUCGAGCGUCAUUUGUACCCUCAAGCUUUGCUUGGUGUUGGGCGUCUUGUCUCUAGCUUUGCUGGAGACUCGCCUUAAAGUAAUUGGCAGCCGGCCUACUGGUUUCGGAGCGCAGCACAAGUCGCACUCUCUAUCAGCAAAGGUCUAGCAUCCAUUAAGCCUUUUUUUCAACUUUUGACCUCGGAUCAGGUAGGGAUACCCGCUGAACUUAAGCAUAUCA